rnacentral:rRNA from 1 species
CCAGACUCCUACGGGAGGCAGCAGUGGGGAAUAUUGGGCAAUGGGCGCAAGCCUGACCCAGCAACGCCGCGUGAAGGAAGAAGGCCUUCGGGUUGUAAACUUCUUUUCUAAGGGACGAAGAAAGUGACGGUACCUUAGGAAUAAGCUCCGGCUAACUACGUGCCAGCAGCCGCGGUAAUACGUAGGGAGCGAGCGUUAUCCGGAUUUACUGGGUGUAAAGGGCGCGUAGGUGGGCGCUUAAGUCAGGUGUGAAAACUCCGGGCUCAACCUGGAGACUGCACUUGAAACUGGGUGUCUUGAGGGCAGGAGAGGAAAGUGGAAUUCCUAGUGUAGCGGUGAAAUGCGUAGAUAUUAGGAGGAACACCAGUGGCGAAGGCGACUUUCUGGACUGUACCUGACGCUGAGGCGCGAAAGCGUGGGUAGCGAACGGGAUUAGAUACCCUCGUA